AACGCACGUUGCGCCCCUUGGUAUUCCGAGGGGCAUGCCUGUUCGAGCGUCAUUUCACCACUCAAGCUCUGCUUGGUAUUGGGCCUUCGUCUCCCGUCACCGGGAGGGCGUGCCUCAAAAACCUCGGCGAAGUCGCACCGGCUUUGGGCGUAUUAGAAUCUUUCAAAACGUCCUCGGGCUCGGUGCUUCGGCUGCCGUCAAACCUUUUACAAUAUUCUAAGGUUGACCUCGGAUCAGGUAGGGAUACCCGCUGAACUUAA
rnacentral:misc_RNA from 1 species